rnacentral:rRNA from 1 species
CCGGGGCAUCCCGGAGGCAGGAAAGGCUUCGGCCGGACAGGGAUGGGCAUGCGGCGCAUUAGGCAGUAGGCGGGGUAACGGCCCACCUAACCGACGAUGCGUAGGGGUUCUGAGAGGAAGGUCCCCCACACUGGUACUGAGACACGGACCAGACUCCUACGGGAGGCAGCAGUGAGGAAUAUUGGUCAAUGGUCGGGAGACUGAACCAGCCAAGCCGCGUGAGGGAUGAAGGUACAGAGUAUCGUAAACCUCUUUUGUCAGGGAACAAAGGCGGGGACGUGUCCCCGGAUGAGUGUACCUGAAGAAAAAGCAUCGGCUAACUCCGUGCCAGCAGCCGCGGUAAUACGGAGGAUGCGAGCGUUAUCCGGAUUUAUUGGGUUUAAAGGGUGCGCAGGCGGUCUGUUAAGUCAGCGGUCAAAGCCCGGGGCUCAACCCCGGCCCGCCGUUGAAACUGGCAGUCUCGAGUUGGAGAGAAGUAUGCGGAAUGCGCGGUGUAGCGGUGAAGUGCAUAGAUAUCGCGCAGAACUCCGAUUGCGAAGGCAGCAUGCCGGCUCCACACUGACGCUGAGGCACGAAAGCGUGGGUAUCGAACAGGAUUAGAUACCCUGGUAGUCCACGCAGUAAACGAUGAAUGCUGGCUGUCCGGG